GACAUUCGAGUCAGAAGAGCUCCGUGAUCAACAGAAAGCAUUACUAAUGAAGUCCAAGGCAGACAUGCAAGACAGAAAGGCUCAGAAAUCCCCCUUAUCACUUUGGAAGGCCAAGAGUGAGCCAGAGACAUCGGAUGUGGACAAAGUGGACAACAUCAGGAAGAAGGUCUUUCUUCCACCAGGAAAAGCAACAGAUGAAAAUAAAAUGGGUCAAAUAUGAGGAACAACCCAACAUCCUUCAGAGAAUCCCAGGAUCAAAGAACUACAUAGAACAACAAGGAGGAACUAGAGAAAAGUCAGUAUGAUGAUGUAGGACAGAGGCUCUUUUUUCUGAAGUCAAUGCCAGAUGAAGUUCUGAAGGAUUAGAAGGUUUUCCCUACAUUUGCUUUGGACAUUAUUUGAAGACUAGAUACAGCCUUUCUGUUCACUAAAAUCUCUCACACCUUUAUA
rnacentral:lncRNA from 1 species